GAUGAAGAACGUAGCAAAAUGCGAUAAGUAAUGUGAAUUGCAGAAUUCAGUGAAUCAUCGAAUCUUUGAACGCACAUUGCGCCCGCUGGUAUUCCGGCGGGCAUGCCUGUUCGAGCGUCGUUUCAACCCUCAAGCCCCCGGGUUUGGUGUUGGGGAUCGGCUCUGCCCUUCUGGGCGGUGCCGCCCCCGAAAUACAUUGGCGGUCUCGCUGCAGCCUCCAUUGCGUAGUAGCUAACACCUCGCAACUGGAACGCGGCGCGGCCAUGCCGUAAAACCCCAACUUCUGAAUGUUGACCUCGGAUCAGGUAGGAAUACCCGCUGAACUUAAGCAUAUCAAUAAGCGGAGGA
rnacentral:misc_RNA from 1 species